rnacentral:lncRNA from 1 species
GUUCGGGUCACCGCAAGACAGCCCACAGUACGUUCGGGUCACUGCCGGUCACUACCCCAUCGUGCAACCACUCAGCUAUAGGCCAUGACCCCGUCUCUCUGAGUGCUCUCGAUCCAGCGAAUAAGGGGUUUCCUUAAACCCGCUGGGUACGAGGUUGAAGAAACACUAAUCAACCCCUAAACAUGCCUAGCAUGGUGGGUUAUACACAAGCUAUAUGGCAUCACACUCUACUCUACG